UGUAGCGGUGAAAUGCGUAGAUAUGUGGAGGAACACCAGUGGCGAAGGCGACUCUCUGGUCUGUAACUGACGCUGAGGCGCGAAAGCGUGGGGAGCAAACAGGAUUAGAUACCCUGGUAGUCCACGCUGUAAACGAUGAGUGCUAAGUGUUAGGGGGUUUCCGCCCCUUAGUGCUGCAGCUAACGCAUUAAGCACUCCGCCUGGGGAGUACGACCGCAAGGUUGAAACUCAAAGGAAUUGACGGGGGCCCGCACA
rnacentral:rRNA from 1 species